rnacentral:rRNA from 1 species
GGAGGAGCGCCCGAAGUCGCUGUGCCAACCGCAAGGAGGCAGCCGGCCACGGUAUGGUCAGCGACUGGGGUGAAGUCGUAACAAGGUAGCCGUAGGUGAACCUGCAGAAGGAUCA